rnacentral:rRNA from 1 species
AUAAAAUGUAAGAAUUCCGGCCCUCGUGGGUCGAACCUCCUUCAGGCUGUGGCGCCUCCGGGCUGCACGCCUGUUCGAACCUCUCACACCUGCUCCACCGAUCCGGUUGGGUUCUCAUUCGUGAGACCCUUCCGCUUUUACAUUCAACCACACAGGUCUCGCAUGUCAAAAACCAUAACAUAUGAACAACUUUCAACAACGG